GGCCAGGCUGGUCUCCAACUCCUGGCCUCAAGUGAUCCACCCGCCUCAGCCUCCCAAGGUGCUGGGGUUACAGGUGUGAGCCACUGUGCCCGGGCUAUAACCAGUGUUAAAUCUCGUUUAGCCUAAAGCUGCCUCCUUACAUAUUUUAAGUUUGGCCUAAAGGUUUCUCUGUACAUCGUAAACUAUAACCUAAAUGGACUUGUAAACAGACUGUAGCCAACGCUUGUGGCAAUCACUGAGUUUUGGCUAAUCAAAGGUGGCCAACUGUUCAAACUGUGUUCAGAUAAGACAAACACCAAUCUGUAACCAAUCUGGCUGGUUUCUAUAUCUCACGUGUGUUUUCUGUACUUCAUUUUCCUUUCUGUCCAUAAAUCUUCCACCACGUGGCUGCACUGGAGUCUCUGAGCCCACUCUGGCAUGAGAGGCUGCCUGAUUCUUGAAUUGUUCUUUGCUCAGUUAAACACUGUGAAACUUACCUGAGCUAAAGUUUUCCUUUUAACACUGAGCAUCCUGUAUUUUAUCUGUUAACCCUGGAUUGAUAUUUACAACUUCUUUCUUCCAUACCCAUUCUAUGUUCCUUUGGUUCUUUUACUUCAUGAGGUGACCCAAACUUCAUUCCUGAAGGGUCUGAGUCCUUGGUUAUUCUGCUUGUAUUGAGUCACUUGAGGCUUUCAUUAACACUGUCACUGAACCUGGCAAUCCUCAGAGAUAUUUCAGGGGAUCCCCUGGAUACGAUGGACUCCUUGUCUCCGUUGUAUGGCAGCAACAGCUUCUCGGUGGACAGUCAGGGUCAGUCUUCCUCUUAGAGCUCUUGGUCCUGAGGCAAAGCGACAGCGGGGCAGCCUUUACUUCCGGUUCAAAAAAAGCUAUGCAGUGUCCAUUCCUGGCGGCAUUCUCCCUUGGACACUGAGGCCUCUGAACCUUCAAUGGAAUGGGAAGACAAUAUUUUGUCAGAGGCUUUCAGGUAGGAGGACAAUGGUAGCACUGUAGGUCCCCAGUGUCGCCUAGAAAAACAAUAUGGAAUGAGGAGAAAAGAUAAAAUUAUGCAACAGCAAGCCCUCAGGAUAACUUGGAGACAAGAAUGCUCAAACUUAAAAAGAACAAGAAAAACAAAUAACAUAGAAAUUACCUGGCCGGGCGUGGUGACUCACGUUUGUAAUCCCAGCACUUUGGGAGGUUGAGGUGGACAGAUUCCUUGAGCCCAGGAGUUCGAAACUAGCCUGGGCAACAUGGUGAAAACCUGUCUUUACAAAAAAUACAAAAAUUAGCUGGGUGUGGUUGUGUGCACCUGCAGUUCUAGCUACUUGGGAGGCUGAGAUAUGAGGAUUAUUUGAGCCUAGGAGGUCCAGGCUGUACUGAGCUUUGAUUGCACCACUGCACUCCAGCCUGGGUGACAGAGUGAGACAAGAAAGAAAGAAAAAAGAAAGAAAGAGAAGAGAAGAAAAGAAAGAAAAAGGAAAAACAAAUGGCAGCUCAGACUUUCCUUCCCACGCACCCAUUCCAGCCCCACCUGCCACAAGACUGGCUGAGGAAAACUGGGGCAAAGGAGAGGAGGGAGUUGUAAUGGGGCUUAAGCUUGAUCUAAGACCUCACCAAAAACACUAAGUACACCUUGAGCCUGAAAAUGUUCAAAAGUGUCUGCAGUAGUGUCAGAGCUGGGACAAUAGGUGGGAGGUUUAAAAGUACACGUGAGCCACUGUGCCCAGCCUCAAAGACUCUUUUAAAAAAACCCUCAAGGACUCCAGGCAAAAAGAUCAAAUAACUCACAAAGGCAAAAUAAUUAAAUAAUGAGAAUGACAGCAGACUUUUUUUUUUUGAGACGGAGUCUCGCUCUGUUGCCCAGGCAGGAGUGCGAUGGCGCGAUCUCGGCUCACUGCAGGCUCCGCCUCCCAGGUUCACACCAUUCUCCUGCCUCAGCCUCCCGAGUAGCUGGGACUACAGGUGCCCACCACCACACCCGGCUAAUUUUUUGUAUUUUUUUUUAGUAGAGACGGGGUUUCACCAUGUUAGCCAGAUGGUCUUGAUCUCCUGACCUCAUGAUCCGCCGGCCUCCGACUCCCAAAGUGCUGGGAUUACAGGCGUGAGCCACUGCGCCAGGCCAACAGCAGACUUUUUAAACCAGCAUACAAAGCAAGACAGCAAUGGAGCAGCAGGUUUUAGACAUUACACCUUUACAAGUGUGAGCCAGGAUUUUAUAUUCAGACAAACUAUCCUUCAAGUAUCAUGAUUAUAGGAAACAAUUUUCUGUUUUUCAGUAAGUACCUAUGGAAUUCUGCACCCAUGAGCCAGUCUGAUAGAGAUGUGUUUCAUCCACACCAAAGAGAACGAUUAUAAAUACUAUAUAUGGGCUGAGCAUGGUGGCUCACACCUGUAAUUCCAGCACUUUGGGAGGUCAAGGUAGGAAGAUAGCUUGAGGCCAGGUGUUUGAGAACAGCCUGGGCAACAUAGUGAGACCCUGUCUCUACAAAAAUUAAAAAAAAAAAAAAGAAAAAACACAACAGCCAAGUGUGGUGGCGCAUGCCUGAAGUCCUAGCUGCUCAGGAGGCUGAGGCAGGAGGAUGGCAGCUUGAGCCCAGGAGUUCAAGGUUGCAGUAAGCCAUGAUCACACCACUGCACUCCAGCCUGGGUGACAGGGUGAGGCCUUGUCUCAAAAAAAAAAAAGAAAAAGAAGGCCGGGCACGGUGACUCAUGCCUGUAAUCCCAGCACUUUGGGAGGUCAAGGCGGGCAGAUGACUUGAGGUCAGGAGUUUAAGACCAGCCUGCCCAAC
rnacentral:lncRNA from 10 species